UACGUAGGGAGCAAGCGUUGUCCGGAAUCAUUGGGCGUAAAGCGCGCGUAGGUGGCCUCAUAAGUCCGCUGUGAAAGUCAAAGGCUCAACCUUUGAAAGCCGGUGGAUACUGUGAGGCUAGAGUACGGAAGAGGCGAGUGGAAUUCCUGGUGUAGCGGUGGAAUGCGCAGAUAUCAGGAGGAACACCAAUAGCGAAGGCAGCUCGCUGGGACGUUACUGACACUGAGGCGCGAAAACGUGGGGAGCGAACAGG
rnacentral:rRNA from 1 species